AGUGAACGCUGGCGGUAGGCCUAACACAUGCAAGUCGAACGGCAGCACAGUAAGAGCUUGCUCUUACGGGUGGCGAGUGGCGGACGGGUGAGGAAUACAUCGGAAUCUACUUUUUCGUGGGGGAUAACGUAGGGAAACUUACGCUAAUACCGCAUACGACCUACGGGUGAAAGCAGGGGGUCUUCGGACCUUGCGCGAUUGAGUGAGCCGAUGUCGGAUUAGCUAGUUGGCGGGGUAAAGGCCCACCAAGGCGACGAUCCGUAGCUGGUCUGAGAGGAUGAUCAGCCACACUGGACCUGAGACACGGUCCAGACUCCUACGGGAGGCAGCAGUGGGAAUAUUGGACAAUGGGCGCAAGCCUGAUCCAGCCAUACCGCGUGGGUGAAGAAGGCCUUCGGGUUGUAAAGCCCUUUUGUUGGGAAAGAAAAGCAGCAGGUUAAUACCCCGCUGUUCUGACGGUACCCAAAGAAUAAGCACCGGCUAACUUCGUG
rnacentral:rRNA from 1 species